rnacentral:rRNA from 1 species
GAUGAACGCUGGCGGCGUGCCUAAUACAUGCAAGUUGAGCGAUCAGACUUGGUGCUUGCUCCUCUUUGGAUAGCAGCGGACGGGUGAGUAACACGUGGAGAAUCUGCCUUUAAGCCUGGGAUAACUUCUGGAAACCGAUGCUAAUACCGCAUAAUAUCUUUAAACAUAUGUUUUAAUAUUGAAAGAUGGUUUUGCAUUCCCUUAUAAUUAUCCCCCGUCGUAUUAGCUAGUUGGUUAGGUAAAGGCUUACCAAGGCAAUGAUGCAUAGCCGACCUGAGAGGGUGAUCGGCCACAUUGGAACUGAGACACGGUCCAGACUCCUACGGGAGGCAGCAGUAGGGAAUCUUCCGCAAUGGGCGAAAGCCUGACGGAGCAACGCCGCGUGAGUGAAGAAGGUCUUCGGAUCGUAAAACUCUGUUAUUAGGGAAGAACAAAUGUGUAAGUAAAUAUGCAAGUAUUGAAGGUAAAUAAUCAGAAAGCCAAGGCUAAAUAAGUG